rnacentral:rRNA from 1 species
CCCUUAGAGUUUGAUCCUGGCUCAGGAUGAACGCUAGCGGCAGGCUUAAUACAUGCAAGUUGAACGGUAACAGAUCCAGCAAUGGAUGCUGACGAGUGGCGCACGGGUGCGUAACGCGUAUGCAACCUACCUUUAACUGAGGAAUAGCUCCGAGAAAUCGGGAUUAAUCCCUCAUAAUAUUUUUGAAAGGCAUCUUUUAAAAAUUAAAGUUUCGACGGUUAUUGAUGGGCAUGCGUGGCAUUAGUUUGUUGGUGAGGUAACGGCUCACCAAGACAUCGAUGCCUAGGGGGCCUGAGAGGGUGAUCCCCCACACUGGUACUGAGACACGGACCAGACUCCUACGGGAGGCAGCAGUAAGGAAUAUUGGGCAAUGGACGAAAGUCUGACCCAGCCAUGCCGCGUGCAGGAUGACGGCCCUAGUGGUUGUAAACUGCUUUUAUACGGGAAGAAAAGUUCCAACGUGUUGGAAUGUGACUGUACCGUAUGAAUAAGCAUCGGCUAACUCCGUGCCAGCAGCCGCGGUAAUACGGAGGAUGCAAGCGUUAUCCGGAUUCAUUGGGUUUAAAGGGUGCGUAGGCGGAUUNGUAAGUCAGUGGUGAAAUCCUCUCGCUUAACGGGAGAAUUGCCGUUGAUACUAUCAAUCUUGAGUACACUUGAAGUGGGCGGAAUGUGUCAUGUAGCGGUGAAAUGCAUAGAUAUGACAMAAACACCGAUUGCGAGGSAGCUCACUAAAUUGUAACUGAC